ACUCCGGUGGCACGCUGGUAAUCUCAGUACUUGAGACCAAGGGAGGAGAUCAGACCCUGCCAAGCCUUUCAGCUAUCUACUUCCUGAGCAAUGAAGCCUGAGGUAAUGAGCUUUUAGAUUUAAACCGGAUUAGAUCUAAGACGAACGUGACCGUUGCUGUCUUGAAUCAGCCACAGGAGAGGUUCGUGGAACUAGGCCUAUUAAUAUCCCCUCAUGAGGAAAAGGUCCAUAUUCAGGAGCAAGUUGACCAGGACUCUUCCAUUAUUGAAGCUUCCCAUAAGUGACCCAAGGACUCCUCAGUGGUGUGGGUUCUUUGUGAAUCAUCCCUGCUACAGAAAAGAACAGGCUUCCCAAGGACAUCAAUUCAAAUGGCAUAAGACCAGGCACAUACCAUCACAUCAAGGCUGGAUCAAGGCAACCCAGUAGGAGGAAAGGGUUCCCACAAAC
ensembl:lncRNA